rnacentral:rRNA from 1 species
UACGGAGGGUGCAAACGUUGCUCGGAAUUACUGGGCGUAAAGCGUACGUAGGCGGCUUGGAAAGUCGGGUGUGAAAGCCCUCAGCUUAACUGAGGAAGUGCAUUCGAAACUAUCAAGCUUGAAUACUGGAGAGGGUGGCGGAAUUCCCGGUGUAGAGGUGAAAUUCGUAGAUAUCGGGAGGAACACCAGUGGCGAAGGCGGUCACCUGGACAGAUAUUGACGCUGAGGUACGAAAGCGUGGGGAGCAAACAGG